rnacentral:rRNA from 1 species
AACGAACGCUGGCGGCGCGCCUAAUACAUGCAAGUCGAGCGAGAAGACGUAGCAAUACGUUUGUAAAGCGGCGAACGGGUGAGGAAUACAUGGGUAACCUACCCUCGAGUGGGGAAUAACUAGCCGAAAGGUUAGCUAAUACCGCGUACGCUCCUUGGACUUCGGUUCAGGGAGGAAAGCGAUACCGUGGGUAUCGCGCUCUUGGAUGGGCUCAUGUCCUAUCAGCUUGUUGGUGAGGAACGGCUCACCAAGGCUUCGACGGGUAGCUGGUCUGAGAGGACGAUU